GACAGAGGGUGCAAACGUUGUUCGGAAUUACUGGGCGUAAAGCGCGUGUAGGCGGCUCGGCAAGUCGGGUGUGAAAGCCCUGGGCUUAACCUAGGAAGUGCACUCGAAACUGCCAAGCUUGGGUUCUGGAGAGGAAGGCGGAAUUCUCGGUGUAGAGGUGAAAUCCGUAGAUAUCGAGAGGAACACCGGUGGCGAAGGCGGCCUUCUGGACAGCAACUGACGCUGAGACGCGAAAGCGUGGGGAGCAAACAGG
rnacentral:rRNA from 1 species